rnacentral:tRNA from 1 species
GCUUCGGUGGCGUAAUCGGUAAGCGCAACCGACUGGACAUCUGUGAGUGUGGUUUCGAAUGCCGCCUUAGGUU